rnacentral:rRNA from 1 species
UUAGACCUCAAAUCAGGCAGAUCC